ACCUCUCACAUAUAACAACCUAAAAAAGUUUUAUAUGUUUUUUCUUUUCUAGUUCUAGUACAAGGCCAUCAUGUCCAGAUUUAACAAAUACAAAACAAAUCAACAUAAUGCAACACAAUAGUACCAUGCUUUUAAAAUUAGACCAAAUAACAAACAAUAAUAUGCAUAAUCAUAAUUUAGUUAUUUUAUCUAAAAAGGCACUUAAAGGUAU
rnacentral:lncRNA from 1 species